GGACGUGACGCAUUAGCGUGAUACUCUGCAAAGGUAUUGUAGAUGUUUUGCAUCCUCGUCUU
rnacentral:tRNA from 1 species